rnacentral:rRNA from 1 species
GUAACGAGCGCAACCCUUGCCUUAGUUACCAGCACGUUAUGGUGGGCACUCUAAGGAGACUGCCGGUGACAAACCGGAGGAAGGUGGGGAUGACGUCAAGUCAUCAUGGCCCUUACGGCCUGGGCUACACACGUGCUACAAUGGUCGGUACAAAGGGUUGCCAAGCCGCGAGGUGGAGCUAAUCCCAUAAAACCGAUCGUAGUCCGGAUCGCAGUCUGCAACUCGACUGCGUGAAGUCGGAAUCGCUAGUAAUCGUGAAUCAGAAUGUCCACGGUCGAAUACGUUCCCGGGCCUU